rnacentral:misc_RNA from 1 species
CAAGAUUCUUGAGAUCAACAAUUGAAAGCUCAUCUAAAUGCCUCACCACCAAGUCUGCAGCGCUGAGCUCAUACAUGGGAUGCUUGCUAGCAACAGCCACACACUUCAUCCGAGCAUCGUGGGCAGCCUCCACAGUCUGAUUGGAGUUCCCNAAACACAAUACAACGUUCUGGAAUAAAUUUUAGAAGCUGUGCUGCAUAAACAAACAUCUC